rnacentral:rRNA from 1 species
AUUGAACGCUGGCGGCAUGCCUAACACAUGCAAGUCGAGCGGCAGCACGGUCUAGUUUACUAGAUGGGUGGCGAGUGGCGGACGGGUGAGUAAUGCGCAGGAAUAUGCCUUAAAGAGGGGGAUAACUUGGGGAAACUCAAGCUAAUACCGCAUAAUCUCUAUGGAGAAAAGCUGGGGACCUUCGGGCCUGGCGCUUUAAGAUUAGCCUGCGUCCGAUUAGCUAGUUGGUAGGGUAAAGGCCUACCAAGGCGACGAUCGGUAGCUGGUCUGAGAGGAUGACCAGCCAAACUGGAACUGAGACACGGUCCAGACUCCUACGGGAGGCAGCAGUGGGGAAUAUUGGACAAUGGGGGCAACCCUGAGCCAGCAAUGCCGCGUGUGUGAAGAAGGCCUGAGGUUUGUAAAGCACUUUCAGUGGGGAGGAGGAUUGCUAGGUUAAGAGCUAGGUAAUUGGACGUUACCCACAGAAGAAGCACCGGCUAACUCCGUGCCAGCCGCCGCGGUAA